UCCUACGGGAGGCAGCAGUAGGGAAUUUUCCACAAUGGGGCAACCCUGAUGGAGCAACGCCGCGUGCAGGAUGAAGGCUUUCGGGUCGUAAACUGCUUUUAUAUGUGACGAUUAUGACGGUAGCAUAUGAAUAAGGAUCGGCUAACUCCGUGCCAGCAGCCGCGGUCAUACGGAGGAUCCAAGCGUUAUCCGGAAUUACUGGGCGUAAAGAGUUGCGUAGGCGGUUAAGUAAGUUGGUAGUGAAAGCGUGAGGCUCAACCUCAUAUCCAUUACCAAAACUACUUUGACUAGAACAUGAGAGAGGUGGCUGGAAUUCCCUGUGUAGGAGUGAAAUCCGUAGAUAUAGGGAGGAACACCGAUGGCGUAGGCAGGCCACUGGCUCAUUGUUGACGCUAAGGCACGAAAGCGUGGGGAGCGACCGGGAUUAGAUACCCCGUUAGUCCACGCCGUAAACUAUGGAUGCUAGCUGUUAGGAGUAUCGACCCUUCUAGUAGCGAAGCUAACGCGUUAAGCAUCCCGCCUGUGGAGUACGAGCGCAAGCUUAAAACAUAAAGGAAUUGACGGGGACCCGCACAAGCGGUGGAGCGUGUUGUUUAAUUCGAUGGUAAGCGAAGAACCUUACCAGGGUUUGACAUCCUACUAAUCUUGCCGAAAGGCGAGAGUGUCUUCGGACCGUAGUGACAGGUGAUGCAUGGCCGUCGUCAGCUCGUGUCGUGAGAUGUUUGGUUAAGUCCAUCAACGAGCGCAACCCUUAUAGUCUGUUGUAUUUUUCAGGCUAGACUGCCCCGGUAACGGGGAGGAAGGAGGGGAUGAUGUCAGGUCAGUAUUACCCUUACAUCUGGGGCUACAAACACGCUACAAUGGCCGGUACAAAGGGCAGCCAAGUCGCGAGACGGAGCAAAUCCCAUCAAAGCCGGUCUCAGUUCGGAUAGCAGGCUGAAACUCGCCUGCUUGAAGUCGGAAUCGCUAGUAACGGUAGGUCAGCACACUACCGUGAAUACGUUCCCGGGUCUUGUACACACCGCCCGUCAAACCAUGAAAGUCACCAAUACCUGACGUCUUAGCAAGCCUAGGCCUAAGGUAGGGGAGAUGAUUGGGGUUAAGUCGUAACAAGGUAUCCGUACCGGAAGG
rnacentral:rRNA from 1 species